rnacentral:rRNA from 1 species
GGAAAUCAUUCAUAGAGUGUAAAGGCAUAAGGGAGCUUGACUGCGAGACCUACAAGUCGAGCAGGGUCGAAAGACGGACUUAGUGAUCCGGUGGUUCCGCAUGGAAGGGCCAUCGCUCAACGGAUAAAAGCUACCCCGGGGAUAACAGGCUUAUCUCCCCCAAGAGUUCACAUCGACGGGGAGGUUUGGCACCUCGAUGUCGGCUCAUCGCAUCCUGGGGCUGUAGUCGGUCCCAAGGGUUGGGCUGUUCGCCCAUUAAAGCGGUACGCGAGCUGGGUUCAGAACGUCGUGAGACAGUUCGGUCCCUAUCCGUCGUGGGCGUAGGAAAUUUGAGAGGAGCUGUCCUUAGUACGAGAGGACCGGGAUGGACAUACCUCUGGUGUACCAGUUGUCGUGCCAACGGCAUAGCUGGGUAGCUAUGUGUGGACGGGAUAAGUGCUGAAAGCAUCUAAGCAUGAAGCCCCCCUCAAGAUGAGAUUUCCCAACUUCGGUUAUAAGAUCCCUCAAAGAUGAUGAGGUUAAUAGGUUCGAGGUGGAAGCAUGGUGACAUGUGGAGCUGACGAAUACUAAUCGAUCGAAGACUUAAUCAA